rnacentral:rRNA from 1 species
UACGAAGGGGGCUAGCGUUGCUCGGAAUUACUGGGCGUAAAGCGCACGUAGGCGGCUUUCUAAGUCGGGGGUGAAAUCCUGGAGCUCAACUCCAGAACUGCCUUUGAUACUGAGGAUCUUGAGUUCGGGAGAGGUGAGUGGAACUGCGAGUGUAGAGGUGAAAUUCGUAGAUAUUCGCAAGAACACCAGUGGCGAAGGCGGCUCACUGGUCCGGAUCUGACGCUGAGGCGCGAAAGCGUGGGGAGCAAACAGG